rnacentral:rRNA from 1 species
UACGUAGGGGGCGAGCGUUGUCCGGAUUUAUUGGGCGUAAAGCGCACGUAGGCGGCUUUGUAAGUCGGAUGUGAAAUCCCUCGGCUUAACCAAGGAAGUGCAUCCGAAACUACAGAGCUUGAGUACUUAAGAGGAUCGCGGAAUUCCCGGUGUAGAGGUGAAAUUCGUAGAUAUCGGAAGGAACACCAGUGGCGAAAGCGGCUUCCUGGUCCAGCACCGACGUUCAGGCACGAAAGCGUGGGGAGCAAACAGG